rnacentral:lncRNA from 1 species
GUAUCAAAUAUUUGUCAUUUUUUUAUUUCCCACUUUACACCGAGAAAUCUAGCUGUGGUCAAUCAACAAGUGGUCCUGUGCCCCGAUGGGUGGGUCCCCUUCCUUUUUGCGUGUUUAGCGAGUUACGUACGUGUUGGCGCUCGUUGAGGUCAUCCAUUAUUCGCUCGUGUGAGCAACAGAUGAGUAAAAACCCCGUCUCGUCUUCCUCCUUCACCUCAAUUUUCCUGUUUUUUCUUGGCCACAUUUGGAAGGGAAAAAGGCACAGGAAGUGAGGCUCCUCAUCCCCCUGAUGGUGCCCCGCGCGCCAGAAAUGUCUACAAUUCAAUUCCCCCCACCCACCCGAAAGAAAAAACCUCAAAAAAAGGGGAAGUUCCGAGUUCAACAUUUCAUCCGCGAAUUUCUAACCUUAAUUCUUUUUGAAAUGCCUGGCAAAGAAAUAAUAAUCGGCGCGGCUGGCGCAUUUUUUCUUUAUUUUUCUUUUGUUUCUUUUUUUUUUGAACCAAACCGCUCACGUCGCCGUCGUGUCCCGCAAAACCCAAAUUCUACCCCCCCCCCUCCUCUCUCCACUCGUGUCUUAGUUUGAAUAAGAAAAAAAAAGAAAGAAACGAGUUGUUUAGAACACACGAAAGGCAAAGAAAAAUGUUGUGUGCGUGUAAAAACGCGCGGCUUUGGCUGGCUGGCCUGGCCUGGUGUUGACAUCAAUCCGGGUCAACUACAGCCAAAUAAAGAACGUUAACCAGCAGCAGCUCGGUAACUAAAACAUACCCCCCUCUCUCUCUCUUUUUCUUUCUGCUAUGUAUACGCGUGUAAUGGGUACUCUGCUGCUGCAGUAGUAGUACCCCAAAUUGUGAAUGUUUUUGUCCAACAACGGAGCUCGUCGUGGACGUGUUUGUCUUAAAGGAAUGCGAUGGCCCCCAUCGAGUCUAUAUAAUAUAAAAUGAGCCUAACUUUUGGAAAAAGAACUAUGGCCGCUUCACGAUUUCUUGUAAUAUCCCGACAUUCACCAGCAACGGACCGUCCUUUUUGUGUUCUCUCUUCUCGAAAAUGACGUUACUAAUAAUAAAAGCCAGUUAACCCAGAUUUGUCGGGUUUGUCGUUGUUGCUCGCCGUAACCCCUUCACGCCACCCGUUAGAGCUCUUUUAAAAGUCUGUUUUUCGAGGGUAGAGUACACACGUUCAGCCGAAAGAAUGUUGGAGGUGCUAGACGAACAACGCAGGUGCUACAAUGUGCUAGUGUGGCAUGGCCCGUAGGCCAUGAGAGACACACUGGCUGAUGAGCCUUUGAAUACAUAUCUGAGCAGGACGGUAAUAGCCGAAGAAGAAGAAGAAGAAUCUCUGAAAGGUACACGCAUGAGGCGUGCACGAGAGACAACGAUAUGACAUCAUUAGCGUGAUUCCAUAACGUUCUAUUGAAUCACGACGGAGCAGCUCACAAAGGCAAUCCUUGGGAGAGUAGAGCAGGUCCUCAAUCUUUAUCUGAUUGGACAAAUGAUAAAAAGAAAAAAAUGAGAAUAACGUUCCAUUUAUCCUCCUUUUUGAUUCUUACUCUAAAGAAAUGAGAAACAAUUCCCCCACCACUAGCAGCCGCUCUCUCUGCGGUUCUACACUCAAAAGUUUGAAAAACGAAACACACACACAACCUUGGCCUGCAUCUCGUGGAAAAUAAGGCGCACAGUUUAAGCAUCUCUCCUUUUUCUUUUUUAUCCAUUUUUUGUUGACUGUGCGGGACACGGCACAUUCACGUUCAACCCAAAUGGGUGAAUUACUCUUUGGCGUACCUCCUUUUUUUCUCUUUCUGCUCGGUUAGACACUUCUAUUGGGGCCCUUUUUUCUCCUCUGAAACGACACAAUCACGGCAAAGUGAAAGUGCGCCCAUGUCUUCUAUCAUCUCCGCCGACUAUGUGACUUGAACGUUCAAAUCUCUCAAAAAGUACGACGAGGUACCCGGGCGAGUAUUUUUUUUCUUUUUCUUUCGAGGUCAACGAGAGGAGGCAUCCACCCAAAAGAAUUCGUUGCAUAUAUUUUCUGCUGAUGCUGAUGCUGAACUGCCUGCUGCUGUGUCGUCCCCUAUGCAUUUUCAUUUCUAUUCGACGGUUUCGUCUUUUUUUUCUUUUCGGGACUUCUGUAAAAGGCGUUUGGAUUUGUGCGCAUAUUUUCCUGUAGGACUUUUUGGCUGUUGGCUGUUAGUGGCAGUGGUAGUGGCGGUGGUGACUAUACUCUGCUGGCGGUUAUCGUGAACGCGCCCCGAAGCGGCGUGCAAGUUGAGUUCCUUCUCCGCUUCGCCCCUUUUUUCAUCUUUUAUUCCCUUUUGGCCUUUUUCGUCUUCUUCUUCUUCUUCUUUCCCCUUUUGCUUCUCUCUCGACGGGUUGGGCCAUCAAAAAACCCACGCGCAUUUCUUCGUCUUCGUCUUCUUCUUCUUCUGAUAAUGUUUAAGCAAAAGAAGAAGAAGAAGAAGAAGAAGAAGAAGAAGCAUUACCUUGUUCGGUCAGUGUUUGUGGUUAUGUUUGAGCCAUCUCUAAUAUCAUUUCGGAUUCAUUGGCUGAUGAUUCCGGAUAAGAAUAA